rnacentral:rRNA from 1 species
UACGUAGGGACCAAGCGUUGUUCGGAUUUACUGGGCGUAAAGGGCGCGUAGGCGGCCACCGCAAGUCAGUUGUGAAAUCUCUGGGCUUAACCCAGAAAGGUCAACUGAUACUGCGGGGCUAGAGUGCAGAAGGGGCAACUGGAAUUCUCGGUGUAGCGGUGAAAUGCGUAGAUAUCGAGAGGAACACCUGCGGCGAAGGCGGGUUGCUGGGCUGACACUGACGCUGAAGCGCGAAAGCUAGGGGAGCAAACAGG